GGAGAAAUGACUGAGUGGCUUAAGGUGCCGGCUUGCUAAGCCGGUGUGUUUUCACAAACACCGCAGGUUCAAAUCCUGCUUUCUCC
rnacentral:tRNA from 1 species